rnacentral:rRNA from 1 species
UGGGGAAUAUUGCACAAUGGGCGCAAGCCUGAUGCAGCCAUGCCGCGUGUGUGAAGAAGGCCUUCGGGUUGUAAAGCACUUUCAGCGGGGAGGAAGGCGAUAAGGUUAAUAACCUUGUCGAUUGACGUUACCCGCAGAAGAAGCACCGGCUAACUCCGUGCCAGCAGCCGCGGUAAUACGGAGGGUGCAAGCGUUAAUCGGAAUUACUGGGCGUAAAGCGCACGCAGGCGGUCUGUCAAGUCGGAUGUGAAAUCCCCGGGCUCAACCUGGGAACUGCAUUCGAAACUGGCAGGCUAGAGUCUUGUAGAGGGGGGUAGAAUUCCAGGUGUAGCGGUGAAAUGCGUAGAGAUCUGGAGGAAUACCGGUGGCGAAGGCGGCCCCCAGGACAAAGACUGACGCUCAGGUGCGAAAGCGUGGGGAGCAAACAGG